rnacentral:rRNA from 1 species
GUGCCAGCAGCCGCGGUAAUACGGAGGGUCCGAGCGUUAUCCGGAAUCAUUGGGUUUAAAGGGUCCGCAGGCGGUCAAUUAAGUCAGAGGUGAAAUCCCAUAGCUCAACUAUGGAACUGCCUUUGAUACUGGUUGACUUGAGUCAUAUGGAAGUAGAUAGAAUGUGUAGUGUAGCGGUGAAAUGCAUAGAUAUUACACAGAAUACCGAUUGCGAAGGCAGUCUACUACGUAUGUACUGACGCUGAGGGACGAAAGCGUGGGGAGCGAACAGGAUUAGAUACCCUGGUAGUCCACGCCGUAAACGAUGGAUACUAGUUGUUGGGCAUUAGCUCAGUGACUAAGCGAAAGUGAUAAGUAUCCCACCUGGGGAGUACGGUCGCAAGACUGAAACUCAAAGGAAUUGACGGGGGCCCGCACAAGCGGUGGAGCAUGUGGUUUAAUUCGAUGAUACGCGAGGAACCUUACCAGGGCUUAAAUGUAGUCUGACAGCUUUAGAGAUAGAGUUUUCUUCGGACAGAUUACAAGGUGCUGCAUGGUUGUCGUCAGCUCGUGCCGUGAGGUGUCAGGUUAAGUCCUAUAACGAGCGCAACCCCUGUCAUUAGUUGCCAGCAUGUAAAGAUGGGGACUCUAAUGAGACUGCCUACGCAAGUAGUGAGGAAGGUGGGGAUGACGUCAAAUCAUCACGGCCCUUACGUCCUGGCCACACACGUGCUACAAUGGUAUGGACAA